rnacentral:misc_RNA from 1 species
GAAAUGCGAUAAUUAAUGUGAAUUGCAGAAUUCAGUGAAUCAUCGAGUCUUUGAACGCACAUUGCGCCCCCUGGUAUUCCGGGGGGCAUGCCUGUCCGAGCGUCAUUGCUACCCUCAAGCACGGCUUGUGUGUUGGGCUUCCGUCCCUGGCAACGGGGACGGGCCCAAAAGGCAGUGGCGGCACCAUGUCUGGUCCUCGAGCGUAUGGGGCUUUGUCACCCGCUCCCGUAGGUCCAGCUGGCAGCUAGCCUCGCAACCAAUCUUUUUAACCAGGUUGACCUCGGAUCAGGUAGAGAUACCCGCUGAACUUAAGC